GACGAACGUUGGCGGCGUGGAUUAGGCAUGCAAGUCGAGGGAAUCCCAGCAAUGGGGGAACCGGCGUAAGGGGCAGUAAUGCGUGGGUGACCUACCCGGGUUCGGCAUAGCCUCUCGAGAGAGAGGGUAAUUCCGGAUGAUGUCGUGAGACCAAAGGUUUACCGCCCUGGGAGGGGCCCACGUGAUAUUAGCUAGUUGGCGGGGUAACGGCCCACCAAGGCGAAGAUGUCUAGCGGGUGUGAGAGCACGACCCGCGCCACUGGCACUGAGACACUGGCCAGACACCUACGGGUGGCUGCAGUCGAGAAUCUUCGGCAAUGGGCGCAAGCCUGACCGAGCGACGCCGCGUGUGGGAUGAAGGCCUUC
rnacentral:rRNA from 1 species